rnacentral:tRNA from 1 species
GCGCUUGUCCGCGAUUGGAGCUAAUCCCUGCCCUCCGAAGGCAGAGGCCAGAGGUUCGAAUCCUCUCGGGUGCGCCA